UUGUCGUCCGUAGUCGGGUGCGAGCCUUGAGAGGAGAUCUUGGUUUGUUCUUAUGCCUUUACCCAGCCAAUCCCGUAGGUGGUCAAAUCAGCCCGCAGAUAAGGAACACCUGUAGAGAGAUGUCACACAAACAGCGACACAGCAAAUAUACAGAACGAGAUCGGCUGUCCCGCCCCCAAACAUGUGUUCAAAUGAAUGACAUUUACUCCCGUUACACAUUCUCAUCAUGUAACCUUACCUUUAAUCAUUUUCACAUGAUCUGUCAGAUAUUCAUUAAAUAACACCCAUCUACAGUAAACAAUUUUUAACUUGUUGCUUGCUAUACGGUUUUAUAUAACUAUUCCGACUGGGCUCAAACUCGCACCCUUGGACACCGGAGGAAGGGGUGCAAAUAAUUAAGCCCUGGAUUUGUUAUCUGUCGCUAGCAGGUUUGUUACAGUUUGGUUGUCUAUAGCAUAUAGACAUUUUAGUUUCAAAGCCAUAAACAAUCUCUUUGCUGUCCUCUACCUUCAUUCCUUCUUAGCAGGCUUAGGCAGCUAGCUAACACUUUUCCUCACGAAUAAAGAUGAUGAAUUACAAGUCUGGGUUUUCUUGCGUUUAUGUUUUCACCAGCAGAUAUUCAUACAGGAAAGAUAAUUUUGUAAAACUGGAACAGACAAAAACAAAGACAUACAUAAAUACCACGUAAAACAAUGUGGCACAAAGAUAGCAUGAAUGCGAGAGCUAGCAUCAUUUAGCUAUUUUCUAGCUCUGAAUUCGCGACAUUUGUAAAACGUACAUUCAACCUAUUUCCAAAAAUGUCUAAACGGCAUUUACACAGCAACAAAACACACUAUAAAAUGCACUUACAGACAAAUACUAUCCAAAGCUCACGCGUGGAAGAAUGCUCUUCGAGGAUGACUUCAGCUUAACCAGUGUGUUCUUUCGUGGUACAACUCAAUAAGUGAAAACCAAGCUUGCGCGUCUUCCCUUGUGUGGGCUGUCCACUAGGUGGCAGUAUUUCCUCAUCUAUAACUACUAAAGCUACUGAAUUUAGCAUUUCCUAGAGAAGGCAGAACAAUCUCAGUAAUCUGUCAAAAUGUGUGCGUUUGUAUACGGGCUACGCUUCCCGUGAUAGCAGAGAGAGACAAAAUAAUAGGCCAUUGAGAGGUAGCAUUAUGUUUUAUCCCAUCUAUGACCCCAGUAUGAUGGCCAUGGAUAUACCAGUUUGAAAUCAAUCUCACUCUUUAAAUAGCCCUGUGUACACCUCGGUUUAUCAAACAAAGGCUGACAUUGUGUUUUGGGCAAUUCAAACAGCACGAUGGUCACAUGAAUUGUUAUUUCUGUCUAUAAAAACCUCAUAAAUGUUUUCUCCGUUAUCAACGCGAGUGUAUGGGUAACCUAUCGGGGCGAUGUCUCAAACUGCCUGAAAAUGUUUCAACUCCUAGCACUGCCUCUGGUCAAAGGUCUGACAUGUUGACAUGUGACAACAACGCCUUUAUUUGGAUAGACUGCCUGCAGAGGCUUUACAUAUGGCUUGUUGAAGUUCAAGUCCCGUCUUCAAGUUCUAAUCAUGUUCACUGAACAUCACGUUAACCAAACCCAACCCCUGACUUCAACCUUUAACCUUUAACCUUUAACCAACCCGUACCUUGUUUGGUAAAGAGCCUAUUGGGGACCAUCCAAAUAAAGUGACCCAAAGCCUACACAUGUAUGCUAUGGUGGUGGAAAAUCCAGAUCACACAGGGCAACCUCUCCCAUCUCCUCUAUGAUGAGCUGAGGCAGAUGAGGAGCACCUUUCACCACGGCCUCAUCUCCCCCAUGUGCAAGACCAGGCCAUUCAGGCACUCCUUUGUGCCGACAGCCAUCUGGCUGCACCACCGCACCUGAGACUCUUUUUGCACCUCCCCAGGACACUCUACAACUGCAAUUAUAUACACUUUGGACACUUCAAUCUCUUUAAAUACAUGAACCAGUGAUCAUUUUUUUUUUUGCUCUUUAUCAUGGCAUUUUGCACUACAUGUAUAUUUGGACACUGCAAAUACAUGAGCCUGUUUAGUGCACACUAUCAUUCCUUGUUGUAGCUGAUUUGUUUUUUAAUUAAUUUAUUUAUUUAUUUAUUCAUAUCUACAUUUCUUCAUCUGUCUUUGUGCUGCUGAUUAACACACAGUCUUAUCUCAUCUUAUCUUAUCUAACAACAGAUUCCUGGUGGUUUCCUGGUGAAAGGAUUUUGCCAGGAGUCCAGUUAAUGGGAGUGUGUCCUGAUAAGAGGCUGGUGCCUUGCCUAUUUAAACAAACACAACACUUCUCUAGCUGAGACUUUUCACAAUGCAGGGACAGACACUCUUCUGACUCAUUGGUAUGUUGCCUGUACAAGACCAGUUCUUGGGAAGUGCUCUGGGUUGCCAUUCUACUUGUAGCAAAAUUAGGCCUACAUCACGGUGUCGCUAAAUUAUUGGCCUAUUUGUUUUUUGAAAGAUGUGAUGUAAAUAGAAGAAGUAAAAUGACACACUUUUCCCCCAGCAUUCAUUGACCUGUGCCAGAAUGGCAUAGAGGCCAGGAAAUCCACAGUCUGUGAAGGCGGGACAGCACAUCUCUCCUGUGGUACAUCAAAGACAUAUAUGCCUACACAUGGGCUACAUAUGCAAAUCAUAAACAAAGAAACAAUGAAACAAACAAAACAUUUAAACACCUUUAAAACCGAUUCAGUGAACCUACUACCAUCUCAUAUUUCCAUUGGCAGCAGAUUAAAUCUCUUGACAGAUGUGGUCAUCCAAAGUAACUCAGAGCUCAUACAUUGAUGACCAUUGGCACUCCAGGGAAAGAGCUCAUACAUUUAUGACCAUUGGCACUCCAGGGAAAGUGAAACCCAGGGACUGAGAUUGCUCCCAUCACACUACAUGAAUCAUGUUCCUGGAAAAGGAACUUCCUGUUUGUUGAAUAGACAUUUCUGUAACUGAGUGUCAUUUCACAGAAUUGGGUUUUAUCAAGGUGGACUCAGCCAUGUAAUCAGAUUUCAAACACCCAAUGCCACCAGUACCAGUCUCAACGCAUCAUGUCUGACAGGUACCAAACCUGAAAAUAAUGCACAUACCUGGAAUGUUAUACACACUAAUGCACACAUGCACAGUAAAACACGAAUACUAUAUAUCAUUUAUUUUAUAGAUGCUAUGGCAUUUCUAGUUGUGGUGUACCCGGUGCAAACUCUGUGUUCUCUGAUCCUUUCGCUGGGACUGGGAUGUAUCUUUCACAUGCCUCCCAGCCAGUAAGUGUGACUAUAUAUUUACAACAAGCUUUUCAAAUGUGACCGUACCUACUGACCCUCUAUGGUGUUAUACUAAAUGGUUCUUCCUUUUUGACACACAGGAAGAAGUGUAACGUGUGAACACGACCUGAGUGUUAUCAGCUGUGGUAAACCUUCAAACACAUGUAAACAAGUCAUGCAGAGGUUCACAGGAUGUGACUCAGAAAUUCUGAGCAUUAGACCUAGUUUUAUAAUAAUAACUGACGACAGAACCUACCACAUUACAUAUCCAAAGGUAAUAUGUAUAAUAAUAACACUAAUAUUCAUUCAUUCACAAUUUAUUUCAUUUUUAAAAUCGAGUUUUGUUAUAUUUGUAAUUGUUAUUUCAAUGCUGAUUUAUCUCAAGCCAGGGGAAAACUGUCUAUUCAUCACGCCAAUUAUGGAAGGAGGGAUCGCCUGACCUGCCCCCAUAGACUAGCAACAACCUCCCACUGUUACCACUCUCAAACAGACAACCUACGCUCCAGUUCAGAGUCUUUCAAUUCAAGCUGAUAAAUAGCCUUUAAAAAGUCAAAAGCAAGGAUUGUGUUGCUGUAGCUCAACUGGCAAAUAAACAACACCAGGGUCAUUGGUGUUGAUACCCAGAGACACCCAGACUCAUAAUAAUGUUCAUCCGUACAACAGUGUAAGUUGCUUUGGAUAAAAGCAUCGGCUCAAUGACUGCAUGCAAAUUAAAUUGCAACAAGGUUGCAUUCCAAAUCCUGUCUUUGUUUAUCAGAAAUGCAAAGACUAAAAGGAUCAUGUGUGUGCUUUCUAAUCUGUCCAAUCUCUGCAGAUGCAAUGGGAAGAAGUCUUGUGAGUUAGAUGCUUCAAACGCCAUCUUCUCUGAUCCCUGUCAGGGUGUCAGCAAAUACUUGGAGGUGACAUAGUUGUGUGUGUGUACAGUGAUGUAUCUCUAAAGUAAUGACACACAGAGGGGUUCUGAUGUGUGCCCUCUGUUCUCAACACAGAAAGCUGUUCAUUGUGAUGUUUGUGUUUGUCCAUCACAGCUGAUGGGGAUCACCAGGAGAUGGGGGGUCCGGGCCAAUCGAUGGGUGGGAGGCAGGCUAGAGUUGGCAUGUAUUGUGCUGCUUCUUAAAUCACACACAGCAGUGUAAGAAGGAAAGCACAAAUGAAUGUGUGUACAUUGCAAACAUUUCAAAAUAUGCAAAAUGACUGCUGAAUCAGCUGUUUACCAAGUUAGAAAUGACACAUAUGACAUACCAGAAUACAUUUGAGUUUUUGUUGUUUGGAUAUAUUAAAAUAUAUUUUAUUCAUCUGCACAGUAAUGUAGUCAAGAGGACAUUCAUGUGUAUGGCAACAAAAAGCACCACUGAACACUAAACAUUUCUAAAUGGAAUAAAUGCAUUUCAGAGUGAUAA